rnacentral:rRNA from 1 species
UAGGGAAUCUUCCACAAUGGACGCAAGUCUGAUGGAGCAACGCCGCGUGAGUGAAGAAGGUCUUCGGAUCGUAAAGCUCUGUUGUUGGUGAAGAAGGAUAGAGGCAGUAACUGGUCUUUAUUUGACGGUAAUCAACCAGAAAGUCACGGCUAACUACGUGCCAGCAGCCGCGGUAAUACGUAGGUGGCAAGCGUUGUCCGGAUUUAUUGGGCGUAAAGCGAGCGCAGGCGGAAUGAUAAGUCUGAUGUGAAAGCCCACGGCUCAACCGUGGAACUGCAUCGGAAACUGUCAUUCUUGAGUGCAGAAGAGGAGAGUGGAACUCCAUGUGUAGCGGUGGAAUGCGUAGAUAUAUGGAAGAACACCAGUGGCGAAGGCGGCUCUCUGGUCUGCAACUGACGCUGAGGCUCGAAAGCAUGGGUAGCGAACAGGAUUAGAUACCCUGGUAGUCCAUGCCGUAAACGAUGAGCGCUAGGUGUUGGGGACUUUCCGGUCCUCAGUGCCGCAGCAAACGCAUUAAGCGCUCCGCCUGGGGAGUACGACCGCAAGGUUGAAACUCAAAGUGAAUUGAC